GUUCAUAUGUUUGUUGUCCUCGUGCGCCAUCACUGUCGUGCUUAGUAACAUAGAAUUUAACCCCGUUCGAUCUUCUGGAUCCAACACCAGCUUCCUGGCAUCAACCGUUAUGCUGCUAUUUAAUCCCAUUGCUUUAUUGUGAGACAUCCACUAGCUUGCAGGAUAUGUGCCUUUUUUAUGCGGAGGUGUUAGAGCCUAAUGCAACGGUUUGUGACUGCUUUAUAGACUAAUGAACUGUGAGUUGUCUUUCGGUGCAGCGUAUUUUAAGGCAAUUUGAUUCGCUUCACUCCUUGGUGCUUCUUUUUGAAUGAUUCAGCCAAUGCAUCAUCAUCGACUCCAACAAAUCUCGAGAUCGUUAUAAAUAACUGGCAAAGGAAUGUUAAAAGUCGAUGCAUGGACGUCAAGACAACUAUGAAGAAGAAAUACGCCAAAGAGAAGGAGAAAGAAGGGAAGAACACGCAGAUGAAGGCGUCGUCGGCAAUGGCCGUAGUGGGGCUAAUAAUGGUGCUGGGGAUCUGGUCCUCCCGGGGCUUCUCUCUUCCUGUCACCGACUAUCAGAACCCUCCCCCUCCACUCGAGCUUCCAAGCUAAGCUGUGGUAUUCGAUCGCACUUACUUUGAUGUUCUCAUCCCAACGCUCGCCGCCGCGAUGAUAGGGCCGUGCUUCAUCCGUGCGCAGGAAACCAACACACAGGAGCAGGAAGAGCGCAGCUUUGCACCAAGCCGCCAUGCGACGUUUGCACCGAGUUGUGAUGGUACAUCCAUGCCUCCCUCUCUCCUUAUAUAAGUAAGCAUGUCGGCAGUGUCUCCAUCGGUCUAUGGCGGCAUGGGCUCCAGAAAAAUCCAGCCAACAAAACACUUGUGCAUCCCCGCCGCAAUCGCCGCCAUGUCGUGAGUCUCCAUUAUUCUCUCUAUAUGCAUAAACAAUCAGUAGCUCGUUGAGAUGCUAAGCGCGCAAUGGAGAUCAAGGUCCAUGUCGAGGUGCGCAUCUCCUGUUUGACAGAAUGCGUGUGAUACAUAAUGAUAAUAUAGUUAGCUAUAGCUAAAUGCUAUAGGUUGUUGGAUCAUGACAGACUGGAGAAGGCCACUUUUAUUAUUUUUAUGAUGCAAUUUGCUCUUAUGGCAAAUAGCAAUUGCGAUCACCUACUAAUAUGUUUCAGCACACACCAACGUGCAAUAAAAUUUUGUACAGAAAUCUGCCGAGGA